ACGCCGUGCUUGGGAUUUGAGAGAUACUCUGUGAUCUGUAGAAGCAACAGUUAUGCACUGUCUCUUUUUUUUUUAACGCUUCUGCUUAGGUGUUCACUGUCACUGCAGCCAAAGGAGCGAUUUUUCAAGCUCUGAUAAAAGUGAAACCUAGCUCCCAACAAACGUGGCCAGCAGAUCACUGACGAGGAAGAGGAGGCUCAAGUAACACUCCUCAACCAAGCUUGGCGGGCUCAGCUGCUGAGGCCUGUGGAGCCCUGGACUGGGAACCUCACCGACAUGCUUCUCCAACCUCUUUCCUUUUACAAUAAAUAAUUCUCAGUUAAUA
rnacentral:lncRNA from 1 species